rnacentral:lncRNA from 1 species
GAAAUAUCUGUAGAUUUACAGUUAGGAUUUUUAUGAUGAAAAGUAAAUAGAUUAAGUGUCAGGUUGUAAACAACAAAUAUCACAACUCAGUUUGAUUCCUGGCAUUGGAAAAUGCUGCAAGAACCCAAUGGAUACAACACUUUGCAGGAGCCAGCAUAACAGACACAGCAGGGGUGGAGAGGAUGGAAGCAGCAUCUCUGGAUUGGAUGAGUUCCUUGUGAAAUCAUUGGACAGUAUUUCAGGAAAAGGUGAACAGAGCAUCAGCCUGAAGCAAACAGCAUAUUUAACUGUUCUUCAGUCAGCAAAAUUAGAUUCUCUCUCUCCUCACUGA